rnacentral:rRNA from 1 species
UACGUAGGGUGCGAGCGUUGUCCGGAAUUAUUGGGCGUAAAGAGCUCGUAGGCGGUUUGUUGCGUCUAUCGUGAAAACCUGCAGCUUAACUGUGGGCUUGCGGUGGAUACGGGCAGACUUGAGUUCGGUAGGGGAGACUGGAAUUCCUGGUGUAGCGGUGAAAUGCGUAGAUAUCAGGAGGAAUACCUAUGGCGAAAGCAGGUAUCUGGGCCAUCACUGACACUGAGCUGCGAAAGCUAGGGGAGCAAACAGG